rnacentral:rRNA from 1 species
CUACGGGAUGCACCAGUGAGGAAUAUUGCACAAUGGGGGGAACCCUGAUGCAGCAACGCCGCGUGGAGGAUGACGCAUUUCGGUGUGUAAACUCCUUUUAUAUGUCAAGAAAAUGACGGUAGCAUAUGAAUAAGCACCGGCUAACUCCGUGCCAGCAGCCGCGGUAAUACGGAGGGUGCAAGCGUUACUCGGAAUCACUGGGCGUAAAGGACGCGUAGGCGGGUUGGAAAGUCAGGUGUGAAAUCCUACAGCUUAACUGUAGAACUGCACUUGAAACUUCUAAUCUAGAGUAUGGGAGGGGGAGAUGGAAUUAGUGGUAUAGGGGUAAAAUCCGUAGAUAUCACUAGGAAUACCUAAAGCGAAGGCGAUCUCCUGGAACAUUACUGACGCUAAGGCGUGAAAGCGUGGGAGCAAACAGGAUUAGAUACCCGCGUAGUC